AUCUGAAAAAGGCAAACUUGUUGAAAAGCAAGGACGCAAAACAAUGGACCUAACCACUAUGUGUAUGGUCGCCAUGUUGCCAGA
rnacentral:ncRNA from 1 species